rnacentral:rRNA from 1 species
GAUGAACGCUGGCGGCGUGCUUAACACAUGCAAGUCGAACGGAAAGGCUCCUGCUUGCAGGGGCACUCGAGUGGCGAACGGGUGAGUAACACGUGGGUGAUCUGCCCUGCACUUCGGGAUAAGCCUGGGAAACUGGGUCUAAUACCGGAUAGGACCAUCGUUUAGUGUCGGUGGUGGAAAGUUUUUUCGGUGUGGGAUGGGCUCGCGGCCUAUCAGCUUGUUGGUGGGGUAAUGGCCUACCAAGGCGUCGACAGGUAGCCGGCCUGAGAGGGUGUACGGCCACAUUGGGACUGAGAUACGGACCAGACUCCUACGGGAGGCAGCAGUGGGGAAUAUUGCACAAUGGGCGCAAGCCUGAUGCAGCGACGCCGCGUGGGGGAUGACGGCCUUCGGGUUGUAAACUCCUUUCGCCAGGGACGAAGCGAAAGUGACGGUACCUGGAUAAGAAGCACCGGCUAACUACGUG